rnacentral:rRNA from 1 species
UACGUAGGGUCCGAGCGUUGUCCGGAAUUAUUGGGCGUAAAGGGCUCGUAGGCGGUCUGUUGCGUCGGGAGUGAAAACUUACAGCUUAACUGUGAGCGUGCUUUCGAUACGGGCAGACUUGAGGCAUUCAGGGGAGAACGGAAUUCCUGGUGUGAGCGGUGAAAUGCGCAGAUAUCAGGAGGAACACCGGUGGCGAAGGCGGUUCUCUGGGCCAUUACUGACGCUGGAGGAGCGAAAGCGUGGGGAGCAACAGGA